rnacentral:rRNA from 1 species
AACGAACGCUGGCGGCAGGCUUAACACAUGCAAGUCGAGCGCCCCGCAAGGGGAGCGGCAGACGGGUGAGUAACGCGUGGGAAUCUACCUAGCUCUACGGAAUAGCUCCGGGAAACUGGAAUUAAUACCGUAUACGUCCUUCGGGAGAAAGAUUUAUCGGAGUUAGAUGAGCCCGCGUUGGAUUAGCUAGUUGGUGGGGUAAUGGCCUACCAAGGCGACGAUCCAUAGCUGGUCUGAGAGGAUGAUCAGCCACACUGGGACUGAGACACGGCCCAGACUCCUACGGGAGGCAGCAGUGGGGAAUAUUGGACAAUGGGCGAAAGCCUGAUCCAGCCAUGCCGCGUGAGUGAUGAAGGCCCUAGGGUUGUAAAGCUCUUUCAACGGUGAAGAUAAUGACGGUAACCGUAGAAGAAGCCCCGGCUAACUUCGUGCCAGCCGCCGCCGUAACAC